AACGAACGCUGGCGGCGUGCCUAACACAUGCAAGUCGUGCGAGAAAGGGGUGGCAACAUCCUGAGUAAAGCGGCGCACGGGUGAGUAACACGUAGGUAAUCUGCCUCUAAGACUGGGAUACCCUGUUGAAAAACGGGCUAAUACUGGAUAAGACCACCGAGGCUUCGGCCUCAGGGGUAAAAGGUGGCCUCUGCAUGCAAGCUAUCACUAGAGAUGAGCCUGCGGAACAUUAGCUAGUUGGUAAGGUAACGGCUUACCAAGGACUAGAUGGUUAGCUGGUGUGAGAGGACGGCCAGCCACACUGGGACGGGGACACGGCCCAGACUCCUACGGGAGGCAGCAGUGGGGAAUCUUGGGCAAUGGGCGAAAGCUUGACCCAGCAACGCCGCGUGGGUGAUGAAGGCCUUCGGGUCGUAAAGCCCUGUCGGAAGGAACGAAUGGUUCUGAAGUGAAUAAUUUCAGGAUUUGACGGUACCUUCAAAGGAAGCACCGGCUAACUCCGUGCCAGCAGCCGCCGUAAAAC
rnacentral:rRNA from 1 species